UACGUAGGGGGCUAGCUUUGUCCGGAUUUAUUGGGCGUAAAGAGCGUGUAGGCGGCCAGGUAGGUCUGCUGUGAAAACUCGAGGCUCAACCUCGAGAUGUCGGCGGAAACCAUCUGGCUAGAGUCCGGAAGAGGAGAGUGGAAUUCCUGGUGUAGCGGUGAAAUGCGCAGAUAUCAGGAAGAACACCCGUGGCGAAGGCGGCUCUCUGGGACGGUACUGACGCUGAGACGCGAAAGCGUGGGGAGCGAACAGG
rnacentral:rRNA from 1 species